rnacentral:lncRNA from 1 species
UUUUGUAAAUAUAUGUAAAGUGCCUAGAAUAGUGUCAGAUACAAUGAAUAUAAUUCAAUGAUUAUUGAGUAAAAGAUAAACAGACAUAGCUACAGAGUUCCUUACUUAAUCUUCCUUUUAUUUUUUCUUUUCUACAGGUUAUGCCUAGGGUUCAACAACUACAAGGUAAAGGAAAGAAUAAAAUCUGCUUUACUUAGGCUACAAUAAUUUGCGAUGCUAUUCAAAGGGCAACUGAUCACUUUAACAAAUGUACCAGUAUUUUUGACUUUGCUCUUCAGAUAUUUUAUGUUGCAUUAGUUUAUCUGUAAUUUUGAAAGCCACUACUCCUUUACCUUUGGAAGUAUUGAUACUUCAUGCAUAUGUCUAAAUAACUGAGAUAAAAAAUAAGGAUAUUUAACAUUAAUUAUAGAUUGCCAAAUAUAGUUCUGAUUUUGAAAAGUAACUUUUUGGAAAUUCAUAUUUAUGCAAAUGAUUGAAAUGAGAGAGGAUGUAGUUGUACUUUGGCUUCUGUCUGUCACUACUUGUGACUCUAGACAAAUCAUUUUGCUUUUUCAGGACUUAGUUUUCCUGUACUUGGAGAGAGAGGGCAUUUUCUUCAUUUAACUACUGUAUAGGGGUGUAAUGAAGAGAAGUGACUACAAUGAAUGUUCCCCAAAGUACAAUUGGGAACUUUCUUAGUGACUGUGGGAUAAGCUGAAGGUUUAAACAGUGAAGUAAGGAAAAAAUAUAUUCUUCUCCUCUUGGAUAUCGCCCAGAGUCUCGGGGCCCUAGAUACUUAUCCAGUAAUCUUUUUGGAAGUAGGUCAGAUAGAAAAAUGAAAAUAAAAAAUAUUAACAUAUUUUGAGUGCACUGAUAAAAAUUAUGCUUGGUAUAUUCAUAAGCUUCAAUAAGCAUCAAAAUCUUUCAAAAUAUUAGAGUUUAUGGGAGAGUAUUUGUUUUGCUAUAGAAAUGACAUAUUCUGAAUGCUCAUUAAAGAAAGGCAUGAGUGUCUUUCUCUAUCAGCAGGACAAUGCAUCUUUAUCAUAAAGAAUUAUCAUACAAAUUUGCAAAUUAUUCUAAUCACUCCACCCUCAAUUUUUUCUUUCAUAUGUGGCAAUACAUUUUUCUUUACCUUACCAAUUUCUAAAAAUGAUUAGUGUUACUGUGUUUGAAUAUUCACUGAUUUUUAAAAUAGUUACUAGAAAGCAAUGAUUUAUAUUUCUUAGACAAAUAUCUAUGUGGUUAAUAGUCAAAUAUUGUAUCAUUACUAGAAUUUAUCAUAUUGAUUGAGGUGCAAGAUUCCCUCACAGGUGACCUAUUGCUAAGGUGUUUACUGAUUACUGCUCUUACCUGCUUUAAUAUUAGUGUAAAGCUUUUUUUUUUCUUUCUUUUUUAUUUAUUUAUUUAUUUCUUCAUGCAUGACAAUAGUGGAGUGCAUUACAUUCAUAAUUAUCCGUUCACAGAGCACUUUUUCAUAACUGUGUAUAUAGAGUAUGUUCAUGCCAAAUUAAUGUAAAGCUCUUUAAUGUACCUUUUUCAGAAUAAUCUUUGUUGCUCUGUCUUAUCCUUUUCACUACAUCCUCCAUUCCACCCCAGCACAGUCUGAUUCCUAUUUUAAUUGUUUGUUUUAUAAUGCUUCUUUCAUAAAAUUUCAGUGAUCAUAUUCUACAAAAUAAUAUUUUCAUAUUGUUGAAGCACUGUCUGAAAGUUUGGAUAAAUUUGGAUAGUUGAGGUGACAAAGAAUUCUGUUGAGUAUUGCAUUUUACUAUUUUUAAAAGGCAACAUACUGACUAAAGGAUAUAUUUUUACAAAAUCCAAUAGUAACAUGCAGCCAUGGCUAACACAACAUGACAGAUCUGAAUUGGAAUCUUUUCAUUUUUGUCUUUACCUCUUAAGGAGCUGAAUAAUAGAGGAAAACAUGGGUCAAGAUAAGGACUAAGUCCUCUGUAGAGAUUUAAGUUUUGGCUGUAAGAAUAUUUGGCCCUGUUUGAUCCUGUUUUAUGUGUAUUAAUUUUUUUGGCUUUCUAACAGUAGUCAAAUGCUUCCAGAGAGAUUUUCAAGAACACUCUUACUACGCAAGAUGCAGAUCUUUAGAGUUCUCAUCUUUAAGACAUUCUUCCACUUGUAACUGUCUUCAUAAACCUGAAAUGUAUGUACUAUUGAUAUAAAUUUCAAUAGCACAUCCGAAGUGGGUAAAAUUUGUCAGUUGAAUCUUAUCUGGAGGUACUUACUUGCUCAUUUAAUGAAUGUGAACUUUAGAUAUAUUUUGGGGUGAAGUCAAAGCAUAAUGAUUUUAGGUUGUAUGCACAGUAUGUAGUUUUGAAGGUAAAUUUUUAUAAGUGUGUUAUUAUUAUUAUUGUUUUCCCCCCCCAUUACUAUUUCUUAUCAUGGAUAGUACAUGUUAAGUUUAUUUUUCCGAAACUGUCAUUAACAUAAAAUUUUUAUGUUUUCAUAAGAUGCAGAAUACUUCUAGAAUAUACUUUGAAACAUUUUUAGAACAGAGUAAGAUUUAUAGGAAAAACGAGGAGACAGCACAGAGAAUCUCAAGAAUCUAGAGCAUGGUGUUAUUAGUAAUAUCUUCCAUUAGUAUGUAUGGUGCAUCUGUUACAAUUGAUGAAUAAUAUUGACGAAUUAUUAUUAAAGUCCAUAGAUUAUUCAGAUAUCUUUAGUUUUUAUGUGCUGUCCUUCCUGUGUUCCAGGAUCACAUCCGAUGGACCACAUUACAUUUGAUUGUCAUGUUUCCUAGUCUUCUUUUGCCUACACAGUUUCCCACACUUGCACUGCUUUUGAUGACCUUGAUGAUUUUCAGGGGUAUUGGCCAGCUAAUUUGUAAAUUGCUCCUUCACUUGAACUUGUCUCAUCAUUACACUGGGGUUAUAGAUUUUUAUGAGGAGCACCACAGUGAUAAA